ensembl:lncRNA
CUAUAAUGAAGCAUUAUAGACUGGCUGCCUUACUGAUGGUGGAAAUUUAUGUCUCAUAAUUCUGGAGGCUGGAUGUCUGCGAUCAGGGUACCAGCAUGAUCAAGUUGUAGUGAGAGCCCUCUUCUGGGUCACAGACUGCUGACUUCUCCUGGCAUCUUCACACAGUGGAGAGCAGAGGGAUGCAAGCUUUUAUGAUUGUUAUAAGGGCACUAAUUCUAAUCAGGGGGGCUCCACCCUCACGAUUUUCAUCUAAUCCUAAUUGCCCCCCAAAGGCCCCACCUCUAAAUACCAUCACAUACAGUGUCUGUGGGAGGAGGGAGGUUCAACAUAUAAGUUUGGAGGGACACAAACAUUCAGUCUAUAACAACCAAGAUACCUUGAGAUGUCUCGGCCAGCUUAAACACUCGAUCCUUUGGAAAACAGGUGAAAGGCGAAGACUGUGUUGUAUAAAGACUGACCAUCUAGAGAAAUCUGCUCUUCCAGUUGGUAAGCAUUCCAGUAGGCACAGUGUUAAACUUUGGGUGGCAGAAGAAGUGAAAAGAAGAGCUGAAAAAUACAUUUAAAAGCCUCAGGUGCCGAGGCACAAAUGCUAGAGGAUAAUAGAGACAGCUGUGGAAGUGUCUAGAUUACAGAGGAUCUGGGCAGCCUCACUGCAUCUCUCUCAACUACAAAAAAAAAAAAAGCACUGAAGUCUUUCCAAUCCCGCAAGAUGGGUUCAUAAAUUAACUGAAAAAGAGGGAAAGCCAGCUGGCCCAAACGUGACACCCUGGUUGUCACAGAGGAGUACCGCAAGAGAAAGCAGCAAAGACCACAAAAUCGGGGACUGUAUAGAAACAGCGGGACCUGGCUGCUUGGUGAACACCAGCAUGGAGCAGUGAUCAUGCCUGAAGACCUGCUCCGGCAGGGACAGACACCACUGAACGGCCGAUUAGCUUCCAGAUGAUGCCAUCUAGCCAUGUAAUUCCCUCGGAAUUUUGAUGCCAGGAAAAGUGAGAUGAAAAGUAAAGAAUGGGAAAUUGUGACCAACUGAGUUUCAGUGUGAAAUGACUAAGAAAAACAUGAAGUGACCAGGAUCAGCUAGAAUGAGCUCGAAACAUUUUCCACCAUGAGAGAGUAUAGAAAGCCUGACAUAGAAGUGAGGUAUGGAAAAAUCAGAAGUGAAAAGGUGACAUAAUCAGAUCUACGUACCAUAAAGAAAGGCGUGGGAGGAUGUUGACAGAAGGAACUGGAUGGCCCAAGCACACUAUAGGUCAGCCCCUGGUAAUCUAGCUCAGUGAUCCUUAAAUUGUAAUGUGCACACAAGCCAGCGAGGGGGCUUGUUAAAAUGCAAAUCUGGAUUUUUUUUUCCCCUGAUCCUGAGAGCGUCGCUACAUUCUCCAUUUCCAGGAAAUGACCAGGUGAUGCUGGUGCUCCAGUCCAUGGAGCAUAUUUUGAGUAGCAAGGGUCUAGGUGACAGGUGACUCAGACCUGAGCAAGGCAGUGACAAUGGAAACACAGAAAAGAGAACACGGCCGGGAAGCAGUGAGGAAGUAAAAAUGACAAGGCCCCGAGACUGAUUAGGGA